rnacentral:rRNA from 1 species
UGGGGAAUUUUGGACAAUGGGGGAAACCCUGAUCCAGCCAUCCCGCGUGUGCGAUGAAGGCCUUCGGGUUGUAAAGCACUUUUGGCAGGAAAGAAACGUCGCGGGUUAAUACCCCGCGAAACUGACGGUACCUGCAGAAUAAGCACCGGCUAACUACGUGCCAGCAGCCGCGGUAAUACGUAGGGUGCAAGCGUUAAUCGGAAUUACUGGGCGUAAAGCGUGCGCAGGCGGUUCGGAAAGAAAGAUGUGAAAUCCCAGAGCUUAACUUUGGAACUGCAUUUUUAACUACCGGGCUAGAGUGUGUCAGAGGGAGGUGGAAUUCCGCGUGUAGCAGUGAAAUGCGUAGAUAUGCGGAGGAACACCGAUGGCGAAGGCAGCCUCCUGGGAUAACACUGACGCUCAUGCACGAAAGCGUGGGGAGCAAACAGGAUUAGAUACCCUGGUAGUCCACGCCCUAAACGAUGUCAACUAGCUGUUGGGGGCCUUCGGGCCUUGGUAGCGCAGCUAACGCGUGAAGUUGACCGCCUGGGGAGUNCGGUCGCAAGAUUAAAACUUAAAUGAAUUGAC